rnacentral:rRNA from 1 species
AUUGAACGCUGGCGGCAUGCCUAACACAUGCAAGUCGAACGAGUGGCGGACGGGUGAGUAAUGUCUGGGCAACUGCCUGAUGGAGGGGGCUAACUACUGUAAACGGUAGCUAAUACCGCAUACCAUCGGAUGUGCCCAGGUGGGAUUAGCUAGUGGGUGGGGUAAAGGCUCACCUAGGCGACGCUGCCUAGCUGGUCUGAGAGGCUGACCAGCCACACUGGAACUGAGACACGGGCCAGACUCCUACGGGAGGCAGCAGUAGGGAAUAUUGGACAAUGGGCGAAAGCCUGAUGGAGCCAUGCCGCGUGUAUGAAGAAGGCCUUCGGGUUGUAAAGUACUGUCAGCGGGGAGGCGUUACCCGAAGAAGAAGCACCGGCUAACUACGUGCCAGCAGCCGCGGUAAUUC